GUGCUUGCUUCAGCAGCACAUAUGCUAAAACUGGAAAGAUACAGAGAUGAGGAUGACCCUUGCACAAGGAUGGCACGCAUAUUCAUGAAGCAUUACAUGUUUUU